AUGGCCAACCAUGAAGAUCCAUUGGAGAUGAAAAAUAAAGAUGAAGCACACGUCAGAGACAAGACAAUGCCUAAAAGGCUUAAAAGAUUCCUUGAUGUGCAAGAAGGAGAGCAACUACAAGAUUUCGACAUGGAACAAGUCCCAGAGUUGAGGAAGAAAAUUAUCUAUCAAAUAAUCAGCCAAUACAGAGAUACGACCGCACUGUCAUUAAUCAACUACACCACAGAUAUGCUGAACUCUGAGGUCGAUAUGGAAGAUAGAGAAAUGCAACGAAUACAUUGUGACAUAAUUCAAGAAGAGAUUCCUCCAACUCCCGAGCACAUUGGGACGAGCGCUCAAGAGAUAAAAAGUUAUUGA
rnacentral:rRNA from 1 species